UACGUAGGGGGCAAGCGUUAUCCGGAUUUACUGGGUGUAAAGGGAGCGUAGACGGCAUGGCAAGCCAGAUGUGAAACACCGGGGCUCAACCCCGGGACUGCAUUUGGAACUGUUAAGCUGGAGUGUCGGAGAGGCAGGCGGAAUUCCUAGUGUAGCGGUGAAAUGCGUAGAUAUUAGGAGGAACACCAGUGGCGAAGGCGGCCUGCUGGACGAUAACUGACGUUGAGGCUCGAAAGCGUGGGGAGCAAACAGG
rnacentral:rRNA from 1 species